AUGGCAAAAUUCUAGUGGAGUGGAUCUCUUGAUCGACGAUCUAUGCACUGGCUAUCUUGGGAGAAACUUGCAUCACUGAAGUGCCAGGGUGGUAUGGGAUUUUGCGAUCUUGAGUUAUUCAACUUGGCACUACUUGGUAAGCAUGGAUGGAGGUUUAUUAUAAAUCCUAACUCCUUAUGUGCCCAAGUAAUGAAAGGGCACUAUUUUCCGGACAGUGAUUUCAUGGAGGCUUCGGUACCACAAACAUCAUCAGCUAUUUGGCGAGCAAUCAUCGCCGGGAGGGAAGCUCUCCGUAUUGGUCUUAUUAAGAGGGUGGGGGACGACAGUACUAUCUCAAUAUGGGAAGAGAAGUGGAUCUCGGACCUCUCCUCCUUGUCCCCAACGGUGAUACCGGGAGGGACGACCCUUGCCAUGAUCGAGGAGCUCAUCGACCAUGACAGCUGGACUUGGCGGCGGGAAUUGAUCUACAACGUGUUCAUUCGACCAGAUGCCGAUGCCAUUCUGAAUAUCCCCUUACGUCGCGGUGGGGGUGAUGAUUUUUGA
rnacentral:rRNA from 1 species